UACGAAGGGACCUAGCGUAGUUCGGAAUUACUGGGCUUAAAGAGUUCGUAGGUGGUUGAAAAAGUUAGUGGUGAAAUCCCAGAGCUUAACUCUGGAACUGCCAUUAAAACUUUUCAGCUAGAGUAUGAUAGAGGAAAGCAGAAUUUCUAGUGUAGAGGUGAAAUUCGUAGAUAUUAGAAAGAAUACCAAUUGCGAAGGCAGCUUUCUGGAUCAUUACUGACACUGAGGAACGAAAGCAUGGGUAGCGAAGAGGAUUAGAUACCCUCGUAGUCCAUGCCGUAAACGAUGUGUGUUAGACGUUGGAAAUUUAUUUUCAGUGUCGCAGGGAAACCGAUAAACACACCGCCUGGGGAGUACGACCGCAAGGUUAAAACUCAAAUGAAUUGACGGGGGCCCGCACAAGCGGUGGAGCAUGUGGUUUAAUUCGAAGCAACGCGCAGAACCUUACCAACCCUUGACAUCCUGUGCUACUACCAGAGAUGGUACGUUCCCUUCGGGGACGCAGUGACAGGUGCUGCAUGGCU
rnacentral:rRNA from 1 species